rnacentral:lncRNA from 1 species
AUUUCUUGACUUCCAAUCUUCAUCUCAUUUCUGAUUUUUAUGGUUUGACCUUGAUCUUCCCUAUCUUUGGUCAACAUUUAUGGAUUGGUACAUUCCAUUUUACUUAAUGCAUUUUAUGUUCUUCAUUUCCAUUAUUCAUCUUCAUCUUCAUCUUCUUCUUUUCUUUUUUUGAUCAAUGAGUUAAAGGUUGAUAAGUUAGUGUUGAUUAGGGAGGUUUAAUCUUCCUUGAUUCAAAUCUAAUUCAUCUUGAUCAAAUGAUCAAG